rnacentral:rRNA from 17 species
CUCAGAGACGGAACCCUCGGCCACACGGACGAUGACGGACGCUGCCAACGUCGAGCUGCUGC